rnacentral:rRNA from 1 species
UACGGAGGGAGCUAGCGUUGUUCGGAAUUACUGGGCGUAAAGCGCACGUAGGCGGCUUUGUAAGUCAGAGGUGAAAGCCUGGAGCUCAACUCCAGAACUGCCUUUGAGUACUGAGAUCUUGAAUCCGGGAGAGGUGAGUGGAACUGCGAGUGUAGAGGUGAAAUUCGUAGAUAUUCGCAAGAACACCAGUGGCGAAGGCGGCUCACUGGCCCGGUACUGACGCUGAGGCACGAAAGCGUGGGGAGCAAACAGG